rnacentral:lncRNA from 1 species
GGUAAUGGAGCAGAGACUGGAGCAGAGACAAGUUGUUCCCACUGAGCUCUCCUCAGAUUACAGAUUGGUCUGAUUAUAAAAGGAGAAUUGGAGGCUUACCAAACAUCUGAAGAGCUUUCCAGAAGUUUGGUCACUUCUGAAUUAGAGAAGUUAAAACCCAAUCACCUACUAAUGCUGUGGGAAAGUUCUGCAGGUGAUACAUCACAGGGGCUCAUGAAUGUGUCUUAAGCUGGGUCAUUGAAGUGGAAUGUUUUCACAAGACCUCCUCCACUUGCUACUGUGUCCGGAAUUGGUGGGUUCUUGGUCUCACUGACUUCAAGAAUGAAGCCGCGGACCCUCGCGGGAGUGGCAAAUCAAAGGCAUUGCAGCCUCUUUCAUCACUGCCGAUUGCUGAUGCCAACCAUGUGCCAAGUGCUUAAUACGUCACCUUAAAUCUUCUCAUCCACCCUCAGAGUAGCUGCAGCAUCAACCCAGUGCCCUGACUUUCAAGACGACUAUGAAAACACCCCAACUGCUGCUAAAUUACCAGCAACAAGGAUCUGGAAUUUUCCUGACAAGAGCAGUGCCUAUCCUGAGGCAAUCGUAUUUCUCCUUGACUUCUCUCCAGUAUCAGCUUGUUGCUUGACACCCCUGCACAGCCAACUGUGUAAUGUGGGUGAGUCUAGCUGCAUUUUCUUCAGACACAAGCCUGGCUACCCAGUGCUAAGGUGACAUCAGGCCAGGCCACAACAUUCUUAUUCAAAAGAAAGAACACCGAAAUUGACCUUACCCUGACAAUAUGAUGGCUGAAGGAUUUAUGAUCACUUAUAACAUUUGAAAUUGAGGCGGAACCUGAAGAAUAAGACUCUGGUGAAAGGUCCUAUUUAUGCUUUUGAUGUCUUUCACUUGGACAUUUACCACAUGCCUAUUGGUAGGUUUGUUACAUAGGUCAGUUAAGGUGAUACAAGAAUAAAUAAAACACUAUCCCUAUCCUUUAAUAUCAUUUAUUUAUGGGGUCAAUCACAGAUUUUCAUUUUUCAAAAUCUUUGAUAAAUGUCAGAAUUAUGUUUUUUAAUAUUUUUACAGAAUUAUUACAAUAUAUGGUAGAGGAUGGAAGGCAAGGUAGUAUGAAACGGAAAAGAUAUUUUGAAUUAAGGUAUUUGGACCUGGAUUAAUAUUUUUGCUUUGGUCUUUAUUAGCUGAGUGACCUUGAGAAAGUUCUUCUACUAAAAAAGAACAAAGAUAAUAAUUACUUCAUGAAAUUGCUGUAAAAAACACAUAACAAGUAUAUCCAGACUCAACAGUGUAUGCUCAAAAAUGCAGAUCCUUUUUCCCUUACCUGCAAAUAAAGUCUUACAGUAAUACAGUGGGGGUAAAGGUUUAAACUGGUGGAUUCAAGAAGGGCUAUAGAAAGAGGUAGCAUCUUAAUAGGGGAAGGAGAGGAUCCAAGAAAUCAGAUCCAUUUUCUACAAAAAGAAAUGGGAAGACAGAUAAUUCAAGAAGAAAA